rnacentral:lncRNA from 1 species
GGAGCAGGGAGUGCAAACAGGAAAGCUAUAGACUCCAGAGGGUUCUGAGCAGGAAGAGAGAACAAGAUGAAGAGUCAUACCUCUGAGCAACCAAAGGACCUUUGCCAACCUACCCUUACAGCCUGCUUAUUGUCUCUCUCCUGUGCACUCUUUCAAGAACUCACAGUUCAACUACAAUUUAAGGAAUGACUUUCAGUAAUGGACACCUCACCUGCUAGUCCCUCCCUCCAUCCUCUGUCACUGCUGCAGAUGAGAAAACAACAACCACAUAAAAGAUAUACUCUGUGGCUUUUAUCUUCACAUCUACUCAGUCCUACCUGGGAGACGAUAUCUUUUCUCAAGUCUAACAAGAGAGCUCUUGUAUUUACUGUACUCAACACACCCAUCCAUUUGGAGGAGCAUAGUUCCCGUUGGAGGAGUAAAAGGAAGCACAUGACAAGUUGCCAAGCACCAGCAAGAUGCCCACACCUCGCCUCCCGAAGCCGGCGCCUGUCCCCUCAGACCCAGCCGUUCCAUCACCCCGCGUGGUAUGCCUGGAGCUGUUUGCUGAACUGCGUCAUGUUACUCUUUGACUGAGAGAGAGACAAAUGUUCCAUAUUAUCUUUAAUUUCCAUAAAAUUGUUUUAAUCUUUGCUUUAUAAUAAAUGUAUAACGGUGCCCU